rnacentral:lncRNA from 1 species
UUUGGGUUGGGUCAUUCAUCAGAGUUUUUUGUUUUUUUUUUAGCUCAACAUUUUGUUGCAUCCAGUAUAGCAGGUCAGAUGAACUCAUUUCAUAAUCAUUGCCUCACAAUAAACUCAUUUUUGAACCGAGGCUUUACGGCCAGGGUUCGGAUUAUUCCUUUCGUAUAAAAGAAUGAUUGAUCUUUUUUUGUGACGUCAAUUGUUGGAUCGUACC